GGAGAAGUCAACAUUUGGGAAGUGUUUACCAUGGACCAGGAGGGUCUCAGUGAUUUUGCAGAAAUCGUAAUUGAAGAAAAUGAUGGAAAGGAAGCUUUGAAUAUGGAGUGUUGUUAUUGCACUGACUGGACAACCAGAUGGAGCUAUUCCCAGUCCCCAGCACACAGAUAGAGAAUCUAUUCGACAAUAACUAAAGAGGUGUACAGUUCUAGAACAUUCUGCAACCAGACUUCAGGCACCAGGAGGCCUCCGUAGGCAGGGUUCCUCGGGCUUCUCAGCUGGCUUCCUUGGAGAAAUUUCAUAUGCUGAUUCCUUUCAAUUAUCUGUCAAUUUUCAAAAUGCAAAUAGAAACAUGCAGUCAUCACUUUGGUACUCACCAGCUGAUUUCUUCCAAGCACCCAGACCAUAAGUGAAUGCAGUUCAAUAUGUUCUCUUCCUUUUUUUAAGUGGAGUUAAUAUUACUGAGCAGAUUUUGGUUAGCUUCCAGGAACCCAGUGUGUGGAGAGGCAGAAUUUUAUUUUAGAAGCACAAGUUGGUUUGAAAAAUGUGAACUUACCCCAACUCUUUCUUUGUUUCAUCUUUCUUACUAGACAUGUUUUAUUUUCCUAAAGAAAACAUAAAUAAAAACAAAAAAAAAUUCUUCAUUGAUACACACACACACACACACACACACACACAUACACAAUUUAGGUCAAAUUAUUUUUACUACUUAGGAUGUCUUUAGUUAUUUUACAUAUUUAUAACACAGAAAAAAAGUAAGAAGAAAAGGAAAAAUGGUGUAUAAUCUUAAGACCAGGAGAUAACCAAUAAUAAAUAUUUUGCUAUAAUUUCUUUUCAUAUUCUAUGCAUAUACAUUUUAUGGAAUUGAGUUCACACUGUUCACAUAAUUUUGCUUUCUCUAUUUUGCCUUUACCUUUAUCAAUAAGCAUUUUCUUUAUAUCCUUAAAAUUUCUUUAUUAACGUAACCUAAUACAUAUGCACAAAAUGUUACCUAAUCAUUCGCCUGUUUAAGGGCAUUUGGUAAUUUCCAAUAUUUUUUCCUUCACGAUUUCGGGUAAUGUUUAAAUAAAC
rnacentral:lncRNA from 1 species